UACAGAGGGUGCGAGCGUUGUUCGGAAUUACUGGGCGUAAAGGGCGCGUAGGCGGCCUGCUAAGUCGAACGUGAAAUCCCUGGGCUCAACCCAGGAACUGCGUCCGAUACGGGUUGGCUUGAAUCCGGGAGAGGGAUGUGGAAUUCCAGGUGUAGCGGUGAAAUGCGUAGACAUCUGGAGGAACACCGGUGGCGAAGGCGACAUCCUGGACCGGUAUUGACGCUGAGGCGCGAAAGCCAGGGGAGCAAACGGG
rnacentral:rRNA from 1 species